AGCGAACGCUGGCGGCAGGCCUAACACAUGCGAGUCGAACGAACUCUUCGGAGUUAGUGGCGGACGGGUGGGUAACACGUGGGAACGUGCCUUUAGGUUCGGAAUAACCCAGGGAAACUUGUGCUAAUACCGAAUGUGCCCUUCGGGGGAAAGAUUUAUCGCCUUGAGAGCGGCCCGCGUCUGAUUAGCUAGUUGGUGAGGUGACGGCUCACCAAGGCGACGAUCAGGACCUGGUCUGAGAGGAUGACCAGCCACACUGGGACUGAGACACGGCCCAGACUCCUGCGGGAGGCAGCAGUGGGGAAUCUUGCGCAAUGGGCGAAAGCCUGACGCAGCCAUGCCGCGUGAAUGAUGAAGGUCUUAGGAUUGUAAAAUUCUUUCACCGGGGACGAUAAUGACGGUACCCGGAGAAGAAGCCCCGGCUAACUUCGUGCCAGCAGCCGCGGUAAUAC
rnacentral:rRNA from 1 species